rnacentral:rRNA from 1 species
UUAAGCGACUAAGCGUACACGGUGGAUGCCCUGGCAGUCAGAGGCGAUGAAGGACGUGCUAAUCUGCGAUAAGCGUCGGUAAGGUGAUAUGAACCGUUAUAACCGGCGAUUUCCGAAUGGGGAAACCCAGUGUGAUUCGUCACACUAUCAUUAACUGAAUCCAUAGGUUAAUGAGGCGAACCGGGGGAACUGAAACAUCUAAGUACCCCGAGGAAAAGAAAUCAACCGAGAUUCCCCCAGUAGCGGCGAGCGAACGGGGAGCAGCCCAGAGCCUGAAUCAGUGUGUGUGUUAGUGGAAGCGUCUGGAAAGGCGCGCGAUACAGGGUGACAGCCCCGUACACAAAAAUGCACAUACUGUGAGCUCGAUGAGUAGGGCGGGACACGUGGUAUCCUGUCUGAAUAUGGGGGGACCAUCCUCCAAGGCUAAAUACUCCUGACUGACCGAUAGUGAACCAGUACCGUGAGGGAAAGGCGAAAAGAACCCCGGCGAGGGGAGUGAAAAAGAACCUGAAACCGUGUACGUACAAGCAGUGGGAGCACAGAGCAAUCUGUGUGACUGCGUACCUUUUGUAUAAUGGGUCAGCGACUUAUAUUCUGUAGCAAGGUUAACCGAAUAGGGGAGCCGAAGGGAAACCGAGUCUUAACUGGGCGUUAAGUUGCAGGGUAUAGACCCGAAACCCGGUGAUCUAGCCAUGGGCAGGUUGAAGGUUGGGUAACACUAACUGGAGGACCGAACCGACUAAUGUUGAAAAAUUAGCGGAUGACUUGUGGCUGGGGGGGAAAGGCCAAUCAAACCGGGAGAUAGCUGGUUCUCCCCGAAAGCUAUUUAGGUAGCGCCUCGUGAAUUCAUCUCCGGGGGUAGAGCACUGUUUCGGCAAGGGGGUCAUCCCGACUUACCAACCCGAUGCAAACUGCGAAUACCGGAGAAUGUUAUCACGGGAGACACACGGCGGGUGCUAACGUCCGUCGUGAAGAGGGAAACAACCCAGACCGCCAGCUAAGGUCCCAAAGUCAUGGUUAAGUGGGAAACGAUGUGGGAAGGCCCAGACAGCCAGGAUGUUGGCUUAGAAGCAGCCAUCAUUUAAAGAAAGCGUAAUAGCUCACUGGUCGAGUCGGCCUGCGCGGAAGAUGUAACGGGGCUAAACCAUGCACCGAAGCUGCGGCAGCGACGCUUAUGCGUUGUUGGGUAGGGGAGCGUUCUGUAAGCCUGCGAAGGUGUGCUGUGAGGCAUGCUGGAGGUAUCAGAAGUGCGAAUGCUGACAUAAGUAACGAUAAAGCGGGUGAAAAGCCCGCUCGCCGGAAGACCAAGGGUUCCUGUCCAACGUUAAUCGGGGCAGGGUGAGUCGACCCCUAAGGCGAGGCCGAAAGGCGUAGUCGAUGGGAAACAGGUUAAUAUUCCUGUACUUGGUGUUACUGCGAAGGGGGGACGGAGAAGGCUAUGUUGGCCGGGCGACGGUUGUCCCGGUUUAAGCGUGUAGGCUGGUUUUCCAGGCAAAUCCGGAAAACUAAGGCUGAGGCGUGAUGACGAGGCACUACGGUGCUGAAGCAACAAAUGCCCUGCUUCCAGGAAAAGCCUCUAAGCAUCAGGUAACAUCAAAUCGUACCCCAAACCGACACAGGUGGUCAGGUAGAGAAUACCAAGGCGCUUGAGAGAACUCGGGUGAAGGAACUAGGCAAAAUGGUGCCGUAACUUCGGGAGAAGGCACGCUGAUAUGUAGGUGAAGUCCCUCGCGGAUGGAGCUGAAAUCAGUCGAAGAUACCAGCUGGCUGCAACUGUUUAUUAAAAACACAGCACUGUGCAAACACGAAAGUGGACGUAUACGGUGUGACGCCUGCCCGGUGCCGGAAGGUUAAUUGAUGGGGUCAGCGCAAGCGAAGCUCUUGAUCGAAGCCCCGGUAAACGGCGGCCGUAACUAUAACGGUCCUAAGGUAGCGAAAUUCCUUGUCGGGUAAGUUCCGACCUGCACGAAUGGCGUAAUGAUGGCCAGGCUGUCUCCACCCGAGACUCAGUGAAAUUGAACUCGCUGUGAAGAUGCAGUGUACCCGCGGCAAGACGGAAAGACCCCGUGAACCUUUACUAUAGCUUGACACUGAACAUUGAGCCUUGAUGUGUAGGAUAGGUGGGAGGCUUUGAAGUGUGGACGCCAGUCUGCAUGGAGCCGACCUUGAAAUACCACCCUUUAAUGUUUGAUGUUCUAACGUGGACCCGUGAUCCGGGUUGCGGACAGUGUCUGGUGGGUAGUUUGACUGGGGCGGUCUCCUCCUAAAGAGUAACGGAGGAGCACGAAGGUUGGCUAAUCCUGGUCGGACAUCAGGAGGUUAGUGCAAUGGCAUAAGCCAGCUUGACUGCGAGCGUGACGGCGCGAGCAGGUGCGAAAGCAGGUCAUAGUGAUCCGGUGGUUCUGAAUGGAAGGGCCAUCGCUCAACGGAUAAAAGGUACUCCGGGGAUAACAGGCUGAUACCGCCCAAGAGUUCAUAUCGACGGCGGUGUUUGGCACCUCGAUGUCGGCUCAUCACAUCCUGGGGCUGAAGUAGGUCCCAAGGGUAUGGCUGUUCGCCAUUUAAAGUGGUACGCGAGCUGGGUUUAGAACGUCGUGAGACAGUUCGGUCCCUAUCUGCCGUGGGCGCUGGAGAACUGAGGGGGGCUGCUCCUAGUACGAGAGGACCGGAGUGGACGCAUCACUGGUGUUCGGGUUGUCAUGCCAAUGGCACUGCCCGGUAGCUAAAUGCGGAAGAGAUAAGUGCUGAAAGCAUCUAAGCACGAAACUUGCCCCGAGAUGAGUUCUCCCUGACUCCUUGAGAGUCCUGAAGGAACGUUGAAGACGACGACGUUGAUAGGCCGGGUGUGUAAGCGCAGCGAUGCGUUGAGCUAACCGGUACUAAUGAACCGUGAGGCUUAACCUU